rnacentral:rRNA from 1 species
CUGGAAAGAGUGGCCAUAGAAGGUGAUAGCCCUGUAUCUGAAAGGGCCAUUCCAGUGAAGACGAGUAGGGCGGGGCACGUGAAACCCUGUCUGAACAUGGGGGGACCAUCCUCCAAGGCUAAAUACUACUGACCGACCGAUAGUGAACCAGUACCGUGAGGGAAAGGCGAAAAGAACCCCGGAGAGGGGAGUGAAAUAGAACCUGAAACCGUGUGCGUACAAGCAGUAGGAGCUCCGCAAGGAGUGACUGCGUACCUUUUGUAUAAUGGGUCAGCGACUUAC